rnacentral:tRNA from 1 species
GGCGGUGUAGCUCAGUGGCAGAGCAUGUGCUUAGCGUACACAAGGCCCUGGUUCCAUCCCAGCACCACAA